rnacentral:misc_RNA from 1 species
UGCCCAAAAAGGUGGAACACCACUCAAUAAGAUGUAAAGGAUAACACCUGCACUCCAUACAUCAACCUCGUGCCCAUAGUGCUUACGGAGCACUUCAGGAGCAACAUAAUAUGGGCUACCAACUACAUCACAGAAAGAGUGUCCUGGCUGGUAAAAAACAGAGAGCCCAAAAUCUGUGGCCUUCAGCUUAGCAUCUUCGCCAGGGUUGUCGAACAAAAAGUUUUCAGGCUUGAGA